rnacentral:rRNA from 1 species
GGGGAAUAUUGCACAAUGGGGGAAACCCUGAUGCAGCAACGCCGCGUGAGUGAUGACGGUCUUCGGAUUGUAAAGCUCUGUCUUCAGGGACGAUAAUGACGGUACCAGAGGAGGAAGCCACGGCUAACUACGUGCCAGCAGCCGCGGUAAUACGUAGGUGGCAAGCGUUGUCCGGAUUUACUGGGCGUAAAGGAUGUGUAGGCGGAUAUUUAAGUGGGAUGUGAAAUACUCGGGCUUAACCUGGGUGCUGCAUUUCAAACUGGAUGUCUAGAGUGCAGGAGAGGAAAGCAGAAUUCCUAGUGUAGCGGUGAAAUGCGUAGAGAUUAGGAAGAAUACCAGUGGCGAAGGCGGCUUUCUGGACUGUAACUGACGCUGAGGCAUGAAAGCGUGGGGAGCAAAC